GGCCUGAUGGUCUAGUAGUAUGAUUCCUUGUUAGGGUUUAUUCAAUCUCGAGGAGGUCCCGGGUUCAAUUCCCGGUCAGGCCC
rnacentral:tRNA from 1 species